rnacentral:rRNA from 1 species
AUUGAACGCUGGCGGCAUGCCUUACACAUGCAAGUCGAACGGCAGCACGGACUUCGGUCUGGUGGCGAGUGGCGAACGGGUGAGUAAUGUAUCGGAACGUACCAUUGAGUGGGGGAUAACGUAGCGAAAGUUACGCUAAUACCGCAUAUUCUCUCCGGAGGAAAGCAGGGGACCGCAAGGCCUUGCGCUCUUUGAGCGGCCGAUAUCAGAUUAGCUAGUUGGUGGGGUAAAAGCUCACCAAGGCGACGAUCUGUAGCGGGGCUGAGAGGAUGAUCCGCCAAGGUGGAACUGAGACACGGGCCAGACUCCUACGGGAGGCAGCAGUGGGGAAUUUUGGACAAUGGGGGCAACCCUGAUCCAGCCAUGCGGCGUGAGUGAAGAAGGCCUUCGGGUUGUAAAGCUCUUUCGGCCGGGAAAAAAUCGCAUGGGCUAAUAUCCUGUGUGGAUGAUGGUACCGGAAUAAGAAGCACCGGCUAACUACGUGCCAGCCGCCGCCGUAAUAC